rnacentral:rRNA from 1 species
AACGAACGCUGGCGGCAUGCCUAACACAUGCAAGUCGAACGAGACCUUCGGGUCUAGUGGCGCACGGGUGCGUAACGCGUGGGAACUUGCCCUUAGGUUCGGAAUAACUCCCCGAAAGGGGUGCUAAUACCGGAUAAUGUCUUCGGACCAAAGAUUUAUCGCCUUUGGAUGGGCCCGCGUUGGAUUAGCUAGUUGGUAGGGUAAAAGCCUACCAAGGCGACGAUCCAUAGCUGGUCUGAGAGGAUGAUCAGCCACACUGGGACUGAGACACGGCCCAGACUCCUACGGGAAGCAGCAGUGGGGAAUAUUGGACAAUGGGCGAAAGCCUGAUCCAGCAAUGCCGCGUGAGUGAUGAAGGCCUUAGGGUUGUAAAGCUCUUUUACCCGGGAUGAUAAUGACAGUACCGGGAGAAUAAGCUCCGGCUAACUCCGUG